rnacentral:rRNA from 1 species
GUGAGGAAUUUUCCGCAAUGGGCGAAAGCCUGACGGAGCAAUGCCGCGUGAAGGAUGAAGGCCUAUGGGUUGUAAACUUCUUUUCUCAGAAAAGAAUUAUGACGGUAUCUGAGGAAUAAGCAUCAGCUAACUCUGUGCCAGCAGCCGCGGUAAGACAGAGGAUGCAAGCGUUAUCCGGAAUGAUUGGGCGUAAAGCGUCUGUAGGUUGUUUAAAAAGUAUUCUGUCAAAGAUUAGGGCUUAACCCUAGAUAGGCAGAAUAAACUUUUAAGCUAGAGUUUGGUAGAGGCAGAGGGAAUUCCCGGUGGAGCGGUGAAAUGCGUAGAUAUCGGGAGGAACACCAAAGGCGAAGGCACUCUGCUGGGCCAAUACUAACACUGAGAGACGAAAGCGAGGGGAGCAAAUGGGAUUAGAAACCCCGGUAGUCC